ACACCUGCUCUAGGAGCAAUGACCACACCUUUCCCUUUUCGUUACAUCAUUGUGAAAGUGGGCUGUCAAGUACCCAGCAGCUGAUGGAGACAAGUUUGACCUGAAGUUAUCCUCAUCCUAGUCGGGAGGAAGGCAUGUACAGCCGGGAGACCUGAGCCGGGAGACCAGGAGGAAGGCAUGUACAGCUCGGAGACCUGAGCCGGGAGACCGGGAGGGAGCUUCAAGAAACACGAGAAAUACAAAGAGGAAGAGACUGGCCAGAGCUGAGCAGCUGGCAUUCCUCCCGACUCUGACACCUGUCUGCUCAGUUUGGAGUGAGACGGUACUCUCUGUGUGGGAUGUGGCCUCAGGGGCUACUUCAUCUGGCCUGAGGUCAUCCUGUGACCAGCCCUACCCCCGAGGGAGCCCAACAUUUGAGUUCCACUGUAAAAAAAACAAAAAACAAAACAACAAAAAAACCAACUUAAGUUUUCUCUGUUUUUAAAAG
rnacentral:lncRNA from 1 species